CGGACGGGUGAGUAACGCGUAGGUAUCUGUCCAUGGGUGGGGGAUAACAGCGGGAAACUGCUGCUAAUACCGCAUGACACCCGAGGGUCAAAGGCGCAAGUCGCCUGUGGAGGAGCCUGCGUCCGAUUAACUUGUUGGUGGGGUAAUGGCCUACCAAGGCGACGAUCGGUAGCUGGUCUGAGAGGAUGAUCAGCCACACUGGGACUGAGACACGGCCCAG
rnacentral:rRNA from 1 species